CCUCUGCCUCCAUCAGCCAUUGGAUGAGGAUUCUAGGACGGCAUACAAGGAUUCCAGAGCCUAAUGAAGACCAGCUGAGACAUCCAGCCCCGUGGACGGAAAAACUCCUGGAUUUUUGGACCUUCUGCUGGUGGACAGUCAACUGUUGUUGUUCAAGGUGGACCACAGAAUACAAUCCAUUCUAAUGUGUCUCCCCUUACUUUCUUUCUUCAUUAUAUAAAUUCUGUUCCUCUAGAGAGCCCUGACUAAUAAAAACAUCAAAACUU